GAACAGUUUCAGUGACUUCAAGUUGAGAAUUAUUGCUCAUGUUUGGAUUUCUACUCAUGGCGUAGAAAGAAAGCUGAAAAAUCAGUUUAAAUGUGUCAGUGACAAAGAAUGAGAGAAUGUACUUGUUGGCUCCACAAAAGGGACUUGUCAUUGGCUUCAUUGGGUCUAAACAUCUGAUGAAAUCUAUUUCGGAAUAUUGCAAGUUGACCUGUUAGAAGAGCAUCAACUUAAGAGGUAGAAAGAAAAAAGUACGGGUAUUAAUAAAUAUAAACUAUCUAUACAUCAUAAAAAAUGUCUUUGCAAUUACUUGA